UAGUGGUUCAGAAGUUUGUCGAAAUUUUAUUCUUAGUGGUUCAGAAGUGGGAUUAGCUUGCAAUCCUAGUGGUUCAGAAGUGGGAUUAGCUUGUAAUCCUAUGGUUCAGAAGUGGGAUUACUGGAUGGAGUCUGCCGGCGACCUGACGUCGUCGAUCUUGAGGAUCAUCUUGACGAGCUGGGUGGCGAGCGCGAUCUGUUGUUUCUUAGAGUGGAGGGACU